rnacentral:lncRNA from 1 species
UCUAGAGGCUCACUAGGCAUUUUGCUGUCUCGACGCUCAUUUUACAGAGUGCUUGGGAUUCCAUGUGUUUUUGCUGAACUUGUAAAGGCGACACCUGGAUGGUGGAUUAACAAGAACACUGACCUGUGGGCAGCCUCAGCUGAGAACAUUGGAUUUUCACCCUAGUCCAGCAGCUCUGCUGCUCACAUAGAUGCAGAUGAAUGAAGACCCCAUUCGGGAAGACACCUGGCCAGUGGUCCAGAGCUGAUGCAGAAGAAUCCUGUUGCCGCGCGUCGUUCUUGCUGGCGAGACGUUGGGCGCGUGACAAGUGGUGCCAAAACUCGGAAACCAACAUCGCCGGUGCCGAGGGGACCCUUCAGUGUGCUGAAGAGGAUUCAGAACUGCGAGAAGGGUGAAGACAGCCCGGUCUGGAUCCCGGAGCGCCUGACUUGCGGAGUGCUCCCCGAGCAAGAUGAUAUUGCAGCUGUUACUGAUAUGCCUGUCCCACCUGAUGAUUCAAGCAGAACCUCGAUGGGGGAUCCUGUCGGUGUUCCCGAAGCCGAUGCCAAUUCAUCAUGAUGCUAAAUUGUUUCCUCGCCUUUUUACAUCCAAUAAGUCCUUUGAUUUGCCCUUUUUGCCCUUAGAUGAGAAAGUGGCUGGCUUAGGGGAAUAUAAGAAUUUUUCCCUGUUGGGUAGCUUGUGCUUUACCCUAGUACGUAAUAUUUCCCAAAAUAAUGAUCCAUGCAUGAAGUUGUAUAAUCAGAC